UUCAACUUUACUUUUUGGUUGAAUAUGAAAUGCCAAAACAUGCCCUUGUGUUCAAAAAAUACAAUCUGAAAAUGGAAAAACAAAAUUAAGAUUUCUUAUUUUGAAGCUUUACUGAUAGGCUCAUGUUUGGGAGACCAAAGCAAUGUCUUAGAAUUUAAAAUCAAGAAAGCUGGGCGCAGUGGCCUGUAACCCCAGCACUUUGGGAGGCCAAUGUAGGAGGAUCUGUUGCGUUCAGGAGUUUGAGACCAGCCUGAGCAACAUGGUGACACCCACCUCUAAAAAACUUUUUUUUUUUUUUUUUUUGAGAUGGAGUCUGGCUCUUGUUGCCUGAGCUGGAGUGCAAUGGCACAAUCUCGGCUCACUGCAAACUCUGCCUCUGGCCUCAAGCAAAUCUCCUGCCUCAGCCUCCCGAGUAGCUGGGAUUACAGGUGCCCGCCACCACGCCACCUUUGUUGUAUUUUUAGUAGAGAUGGGUUUCACUACCUUGGCCAGGCUGGUCGCGAACUCCUGACCUCAGUUGACCCACCCACUUCAGCCUCCCAAAGUGCUGGGAUUACAGACGUGGUGGCUCACGCCUGUAAUCCCAGCACUUUGAGAGGCCGAGGAGGAUGGAUCAUGAGAUUAGAAGUUUGAGACCAGCCUAGCCAAUACAACGAAACCCUGUCUCUACUAAAAAUCAAACAAACAAACAAACAAACAAAAACUAGCCACGUGUGGUGGUGCGCACCCAUAGUCCCAGCUACUCGGAAGGCUGAGGCAGGAGAAUCGCUUGAAUGCAGGAGAUGGAGGUUACAGUGAGCCAAGACUGCGCCACCUCACUCCAGCCUAGGCAAUAGAGGGACACUCCGUAUCAAAAAAAAAAAAAAACAAAAAAACACCAACCACCACUACCACCAAAACCCAAAACCAAAUAGCCAAUAAAUACAAAAAGGUGGUCUACUUCCCUGAUCAUUACAGAAAUGCAAAAAAAUAAAAAUAAAUAAAUAAAUCAACAAAGCAAAUUCUGGGUGGGUAUUUGCUAAAAACAGUCUAGCAGUAGAUGACUGCAGUAAGUUGGUGGUGAUGAGAUGUAAAGGAAUGUGGGUUGAAUGUCAAUUUUUGAAGUGAGGAGUGUUUUAAUUCACGUUUCUUAGGUUUCACCAUUGUUAAGACUUGAUAUUUUUCUAGAAAGUCCUCGAGUGCCAUUGUUCACCAGGCAACCAUGUGUGACACUCAAGUAAAAAUACAUGUACAGGCUGGGUGUGGUGGUUCACACCUGUAAUCCCAGCACUUUGGGAGGCUGAGGUGGGAGGAUAGCUUGAGCUCAGGAGUUUGAGACCAGCCUGGACAACAUAGGGAGACCCCCCAUCUCUAUAAAAAAUUUAAAAAUUAGCUGGGUAUGGUGGCAUGUGCCUGUGGUCUCAGCCACUCCAGAAGCUGAAGUGGGAGGAUCACUUGAGGCUGGGAGAUCAAGGCUGCAGUGAGCUGUGAUCAUGCCACUGCGUUCCAGCCUGGGCAACAGAGCGAGACUCUGUCUCAAAAAUGAAUAAAAUUGUGUGUAUCUAGAAUAGUAAGAAAUUAGGCUCAUUUUGAUUAUGGUUCAUAAAUAGUAACUGAGUAUAGUAAGAGGAUUAUGAUGGCAAGGUACAAAUUAAAAAUCUCAAGUUUUUACCUUCGCUCCCCACAGGUUUUCAUUAAAACAACAACAACAAAAAAAAUUAAAGAGAAUACAUAACUUUAAAAAUAUGACAGAGGUGAAAGCUACAAGAAUUACACUGCAUCUGAUUUUAUACUCACACAGUCUAAUCCAAACUGAAGUUCUGAAUGAACUUUUCCCAGUCUCCCUAUUUGAUUUCCUAGGUAAAGGAAUUUAGUAAAUAAUGAGAACAGGGAACUAAAAGGUAAAAUUCAUCUUUAAAACAGUAAUUUAUCAACUUUUAAACUAAGAGUGAGAAAGCUACCACAGACUGGCUUUUAUGUAGUAAUAAAAAGUUUAAAAUCACUUACUGUCAGCAUCUGUUUUUAAAAAAUGAAAUACUUACCAAACUAUAUGCAAAAAGUAUUUGCAUUAAAAGUUGCCAGCUUAAUCAUGGAAAAUCUCUUAUAAGGCUGCUUAAAGGUUCAUGUUUUUUACUAAAAAUGGUAGACUGUGAGAAUGUGUAAAGUCAAUUUUUGAACUACUAGUACUUUUUUUUUUUUUUUUUGGAGACCAGGUUUUACUGUUGCCCAGGCUGGAGUGCAGUGUCGUGAUCUCAGUUCACUGCAGCCUCAACCUCCCAGGCUCAAGUGAUCCUCCCAACUCAGCCUCCCAAGUAGCUGGGACUGCAGGCGCACGCCACCAUGCCUGGCUAAUUUUUGUAUUUUUUAUAGGGACAGGGUCUUGCCAUGUUGCCCAG
rnacentral:lncRNA from 10 species